rnacentral:lncRNA from 1 species
UGGUGUGUGAUUAUGUAGGAAGCUUUGUGAUCUGAAUAUAGUGAUAUAUUGAUGAUAAAAAGGCUGGAAAACCAUGGGAAAUACACUACAAUACAAUGGGCGAAGGAUGGGAUGAUCAAUACUUAACCAAAUUUGUGAAGAUGAAUUUCAGUAGCACCAUGCGAUAUAAAUGUAUCACAUGCUCUAUUUCAGGGCAGCCAAGCGUGUGUCGCAUGAUCUAUUCCUAUGCAUCCAAGUGUGCGUCGCAUGCUCCAUUCCUA